AUCCCUGUAGCGCAAUGGAUAGCGCGUUGGACUUCUAAUCCAAAGGUCGUGGGUUACAACCCCACCUGGGAUG
rnacentral:tRNA from 1 species